AUAAUGACAAUAAUACUUUACUUUGUCUUUGCACCUUUCUUGCAUUGUUAUGCUGUGAUUCUUAAUUCAUGAGAAUAAUUUCUCACUAUGUGCUAAACGAAAGCAUUAUUUUCUGCAACUUGAUUUCUUUUAUUUUUUAGCAGCACCGUAUUAUUAGAUUGCCCCUUACGUAUUCUAACAAGGUAGUGAAGUAUAGUAGAUGGUAUAUAAUAUUUGUGUUUAUUGGCACCCGUUGGAAAGAAACCUCGACAUUCUAUUGGACCAAUGCUUGACACUAUUGUUCUAGAAACUCAAAACCAGAAUCACACAGAUACUGAUUCUGACUUGGAUGAAUAAUUCUCUGAUAACAAUUCGGGAAACAGUGAUAGUGCUAAUGAUCAGAUACAAAAUGGUGAAGAUUAUGCCAAUAAUCAAGAUGAGAGAAGAAAUCAAUAACUCGGAUGAGAACAAUAUGAAUAUUCGUUUAGAUGAUAUGCAUCUCUCCAGGAACAAAGGAAAAGUGCAACAAAGAAAAGCAAGAGGAGGUCAAAAUGAUGUUGAAUUUUCAUUGUCGCUUAUAAGAUUUACAUUCUUGCAUAGUUAGAUAAUUUAGACUUUGAUAUUUGAUGUUAGAUAUUUGAAUGAUAUGUUAUUUUUCAAUUUGACAUUUACACAAAAUUUAUUUUUAUAUUUAACUAAUUGAUAUGCUUAUUUCAUUCGA